AUCCAAACCGAAAUCAGAUAUAUUAAAAGCUAGCAGAAAUAUUUAUGUAUAAUGAAUAUAGAAGGCAGCCUUCUAUACGGAAUUUUUCGGCCGUAACGCUGAGAGGAAAAGAAAAAAACUGCUGUAGAACAAGUUCGGUAAAAUUAAAGCAAUACAAAGUGGUCUCAAUGUAAUAACUUCUGGCGCAGUUCUAAAGUGAUAAAUGAAAGAUUUCAUUUCAUCCACUUUCCUUUCUUUAAAAUUGUGGGGAAAACAAAAAAUUUAAGUGUACAUCCUUUAAAAAAAAUACUCCCGUGAAAAUUCACACAGAAUAUGUGAGCUGUGUCAGCAGAAUGUACCGUAAUAUUACAGUGGUUGCAGUGCAAUAUUACUAUUUUUUAUAUUGUGGCAGAACAUUAGUUACACUUAUUGUACAUUAUGCAAAUAAAUGUAUUUCCGAAGUUCAAAUGAAAACAUUAGUGAAUGAAACAUGAAACUCUAUCAUCACAAUAAAUGUGGAAUUUUCAGAAACAGAUAUCGUGUAAAUGAAUCCAUUAGUGAAAGAAUACAUCUAAUAAGGGUUUACAAAUCGUUCUGUAUCAUGUGUGAAUCAUAGAAAUACUACAGGCAGGAGGGAAUUAUUAAAAAAAUAUUUUCUCUGUGUUUAAAGAGAGAAAAUUUAAAUAUGUUUUGCAUAUUUAAUAAUAAAAUAUAUUUUUUCUUUCUUUUUAUAAUUUUCAUAACUACAAUUGGACGCAUUAAAAUGAAAUCUGUACAGAUAGAUAUCUUACAUGAUUUUUUGCAACAAUUAUUUUUUAAGGCAAAAGUAUUUAAUCACAAUUUUGAGCCCAUGAUCACACUUCAAACAUUAUUAUUUUUGCCAUAAUAAUUGUCAAAAUUUGAUAGAAAUUUUCUGCAUUUGUAACCGUGAGAUGCUAAAAUUUUGUUGUUAUUAGGCGAUAAAAUACUAAUAGUGCUAGUCUAUAUAUGAAAGGUAUAUAAAUUUGAAAAAUAAGUUUACAUGCCUUGUAUCAUACAUAAACAAGAGAUUAUUUUUGUAUUAAUGUGCCAACUGAAUGCUAAAAAAAUUUUGUUGUUUCCUUUGAGUGCAGAAAUAAAAACGAGUACUUUUGUUCUGUUUUAGCUGUGUUUGAAGAAAUUUUUUAAUCCGUUGUAUGCUGAGGAAGCAAUGUUCACACUCAAGCGUCCAACCCUCUGUAAGGAGAGAGAAAAGCACACGAAGAAAAAGACCAAGUUGCCCUUAAAAAGUACUGAGGACCCGGGAGACUUCAAAGAUGCAUACAUGACCUAGAGGACUGCAAACGCGGGAAAAAACGAAGGACUAAACCCCUGGGGCUGGUGACAAAGAAUGCAUCCCGCAGAGCCAUUGUGAAGAUCCACCAUUUAUGAAUGUAAAGUAUGAAAUCUCCCUGCCUGGGGGAAUGGAUGCUGCCUAUUCAUAAUUUCGACUUCCCUUCACAUGUCUGUUAAAAAAAAAAAAAAAAAAAAAACCUCUGUACUAGACUCUAACUUUGUUAGCUAGAAUUUAAACAAUGGACAUGUAGGCCACGUAAUAUGUGCUCUCUAAAAUGUGACCUGUAGUGGCUUAGAAAUAAAUUUCCUGACUGAUUAUAAAUUCUUA